GCAGCUCUAGACGAGGACCUACUUAAAAAUUAAUUAGUCCCAAAAAUCUUACUCGGAAAGGAGCUUAUGUGUCUAUUGGGUCCGUCUUAUCCAGACCAAACCCGUCCGUUCGAGUUGGUUUAACGGGUUCAGUUGAGUUUGAGUUUUCUUCCCCCGACUCCUCUCAAACAAAACACUUUACUUUUCUCUCAAACUCAGACAGAAAUCACAGCACCAGUCAAUUAGAAACUCUUGAAAGGUCAAGUGCACGAGCAAUAACUAGAUUGAGAGCUGCUGCACCACAGCAGGAGUGCUGUCAGGUUGAGCAGCUGCUGGUGGUGAUGAAGUGACGAGCGGAGUCCUUUUGUUUUAUCCUUAUGUAUUAAUGAACUCUGGGGAUACAUGUCUUCAUACAUGUAAUCAGAACCUUAUUCCGCUGCGUACUCAGAAGUCUUAUAUUAUUUUGGCUAAGUCGGAAUCAUCCGAACUUACUAGUUUAUUUGAGUCAAUAUGACUAAACCUCCGUUAUAUUAUAAAUAUUCCUUUUGUUAACAA